AACAGUCACAAGAUGUAUUCGACUCGAGUGACAAACAGAAUUGUUACAGAAAGUAUAGCGAAGGAGUAAGAAUAGCGAACAAUCGUUGGGACUCUAAGAAUCGGGGACCAUGACCAGUCACGUAUUCGUCAUGCGGUAACGAAGAAUUGAACUGGACGCGUCAUCGGGAUCCAAACAAUGACUUUAUCUUCGCGGAAUCUGACGAAAGUGAAACUUCUCUAACAUCAACAAUUCACUUCCAAUUUUUUAGACAUUCUCUCGAAAUAUUCAUAUCUAUAACAACACUUCUUCUUUCAAAAAACAGAAAAAAAUAGAAAACUUCUCUGUAAAUAUGGAAAAUUAAAAAAAAAUUUCCAUUCAUUGAUCUUAUCUCUUUGAAAAAGUUAUUGUUUGAAUUUGAAGAAGAAGAAUAAGAAAAAGGAAACAUUGAUAGCGAUAGUUAUAAUUUCGGCAAUAAAAUAAAAGCUCCAUCGUGUUGGAGCUUCGGGGCCCCAAUCCUACUUCGAAAAGUCCCGCAGACAAGCUUUUGGACCCUAUUGUUGGAUUCGGGGUAGGACAACCCGUAUAUAUACCCUCGCAGGCAGGCAAACGAGGGUUGCAACCUUUUAUACGGCGAAGGGUCGCCAGUCGGCUAUCGGCCCCCGGUUCUUUUUGUCUGGUUCGUCGAAGCGACAACGGAGAAAUCCCCCUUGUCAGGCAGCCGGGCGACUGUACCAUGCCUGCCUGUUUGCCUGUCGUUCUAUGACUGACGACAGCAGGCCAACGCGUAUUUCUUUGCCUCGACGAACGGAAACGAACUUUUACCAAUCUUGCUACUAGGAAAUGACUGGUGAUAGAGGAGAAUGGAACGACUUGAAUAGAAAUACUGUAACCGUGACAAUUUGGGGAAUUUCUGAUUUAAAGAAUCAUGGGGGGUAGAGAGGUUGAUUAAAAAUUUUGAGAUCAAUCUUUCUCGAUGGCUGAAUUAUGAAAAGAAAAUUGUAUAAUAGGGAUAAAAAAACAAUGAUAAAUAAUAAUUAAUAAAUAACAAAUUUCUUAUAAAUAUUUUAAAAAGUAAAUAUUUGAUAUACAGCA